UGAAAAGCCUAAGAAGCUGGUGAUGUCCAGA
rnacentral:piRNA from 1 species